rnacentral:rRNA from 1 species
AUUGAACGCUGGCGGCAUGCUUUACACAUGCAAGUCGAACGGUAACAGGUUAAGCUGACGAGUGGCGAACGGGUGAGUAAUGCAUCGGAACGUGCCCGGUCGUGGGGGAUAACGCAGCGAAAGCUGCGCUAAUACCGCAUACGAUCUGAGGAUGAAAGCGGGGGACCGUAAGGCCUCGCGCGAUCGGAGCGGCCGAUGUCAGAUUAGGUAGUUGGUGGGGUAAAGGCUCACCAAGCCGACGAUCUGUAGCUGGUCUGAGAGGACGACCAGCCAGACUGGGACUGAGACACUGCCCAGACUCCUACGGGAGGCAGCAGUGGGGAAUUUUGGACAAUGGGCGCAAGCCUGAUCCAGCAAUGCCGCGUGCAGGAAGAAGGCCUUCGGGUUGUAAACUGCUUUUGUACGGAGCGAAAAGGCUCUCUCUAAUACAGGGGGCUCAUGACGGUACCGUAAGAAUAAGCACCGGCUAACUACGUGCCAGCAGCCGCCGUAACAC